GACGAACGCUGGCGGCGUGCUUAACACAUGCAAGUCGAACGGAAAGGCCCUGCUUUUGUGGGGUGCUCGAGUGGCGAACGGGUGAGUAACACGUGAGUAACCUGCCCUUGACUUUGGGAUAACUUCAGGAAACUGGGGCUAAUACCGGAUAGGAGCUCCUGCUGCGUGGUGGGGGUUGGAAAGUUUCGGCGGUUGGGGAUGGACUCGCGGCUUAUCAGCUUGUUGGUGGGGUAGUGGCUUACCAAGGCUUUGACGGGUAGCCGGCCUGAGAGGGUGACCGGCCACAUUGGGACUGAGAUACGGCCCAGACGCCUACGGGAGGCAGCAGUGGGGAAUAUUGCACAAUGGGCGGAAGCCUGAUGCAGCAACGCCGCGUGCGGGAUGACGGCCUUCGGGUUGUAAACCGCUUUCGCCUGUGACGAAGCGUGAGUGACGGUAAUGGGUAAAGAAGCACCGGCUAACUACGUG
rnacentral:rRNA from 1 species